UACGUAGGGUGCGAGCGUUAAUCGGAAUUACUGGGCGUAAAGCGUGCGCAGGCGGUGAUGUAAGACAGGUGUGAAAUCCCCGGGCUUAACCUGGGAACUGCAUUUGUGACUGCAUCGCUGGAGUGCGGCAGAGGGGGAUGGAAUUCCGCGUGUAGCAGUGAAAUGCGUAGAUAUGCGGAGGAACACCGAUGGCGAAGGCAAUCCCCUGGGCCUGCACUGACGCUCAUGCACGAAAGUGUGGGGAGCAAACAGG
rnacentral:rRNA from 1 species